GCUUACGGCCAUACCACCCUGAGAACGCCCGAUCUCGUCUGAUCUCGGAAGCUAAGCAGGGUUGGGCCUGGUUAGUACUUGGAUGGGAGACCGCCUGGGAAUACCAGGUGCUGUAAGCU
ensembl:rRNA 5S_rRNA 5S ribosomal RNA